rnacentral:rRNA from 1 species
GGACAGAUGGGAGCUUGCUCCCUGAUGUUAGCGGCGGACGGGUGAGUAACACGUGGGUAACCUGCCUGUAAGACUGGGAUAACUCCGGGAAACCGGGGCUAAUACCGGAUGGUUGUUUGAACCGCAUGGUUCAAACAUAAAAGGUGGCUUCGGCUACCACUUACAGAUGGACCCGCGGCGCAUUAGCUAGUUGGUGAGGUAACGGCUCACCAAGGCGACGAUGCGUAGCCGACCUGAGAGGGUGAUCGGCCACACUGGGACUGAGACACGGCCCAGACUCCUACGGGAGGCAGCAGUAGGGAAUCUUCCGCAAUGGACGAAAGUCUGACGGAGCAACGCCGCGUGAGUGAUGAAGGUUUUCGGAUCGUAAAGCUCUGUUGUUAGGGAAGAACAAGUACCGUUCGAAUAGGGCGGUACCUUGACGGUACCUAACCAGAAAGCCACGGCUAACUACGUGCCAGCAGCCGCGGUAAUACGUAGGUGGCAAGCGUUGUCCGGAAUUAUUGGGCGUAAAGGGCUCGCAGGCGGUUUCUUAAGUCUGAUGUGAAAGCCCCCGGCUCAACCGGGGAGGGUCAUUGGAAACUGGGGAACUUGAGUGCAGAAGAGGAGAGUGGAAUUCCACGUGUAGCGGUGAAAUGCGUAGAGAUGUGGAGGAACACCAGUGGCGAAGGCGACUCUCUGGUCUGUAACUGACGCUGAGGAGCGAAAGCGUGGGGAGCGAACAGGAUUAGAUACCCUGGUAGUCCACGCCGUAAACGAUGAGUGCUAAGUGUUAGGGGGUUUCCGCCCCUUAGUGCUGCAGCUAACGCAUUAAGCACUCCGCCUGGGGAGUACGGUCGCAAGACUGAAACUCAAAGGAAUUGACGGGGGGCCCGCACAAGCGGUG